GCAUUCUAGGAUUGAGAUACACAGUUUGGUUCUUGUGAGGGCAGCCAGGGCUGGGGAGGAGGGCAGAGAACAUCCCAGAGAUCAAGACUGCUCUUCUUGCUCCCUCCCCGACUGACUUGGCCCACACUGACUGGCCUGCCACCCCUUUACAGUGAUCUCCACCCAGUCUCUCUCUGCAAAGGCCUCCCUUGGCUCUCUGAUAAAGUUGGAGCUGUGGGUGCAGCAUUUCACUUGGACCUAGCAGCAUCAAUGAGCCAGCUCCUCACUGGGGAACAUGCAAACCCCCAGCUGCUGGUGUGCAGGAAAAGAAUCCAGGAGAUCACCUGAUGAAGCCCAGCAUUUUACAGAUAGGCAGUGGAGCAGGGGAAUCCAGUUGACACUGUGGCUAAAUUUCAGAAAACCUCCCAUGAGAUCUUGCAAAGGAGAUGGAGAAAAUAUGGCUGAAUGCCAGCAAGGCCAAUGAAGAUACACAGGCUUUCCAUGGCGCACAUGAGGGAGGACAUGGACUUGAGAAUUGUGAGGCUUGAAGAAUCCUCAGAGAUCACCUAGCAUAACAGGAAACCAAGGAUUUGGAGGGAAAAAUCUUGUCGCAGAUCACACAGAAAUAUCAGGGCCUGGUUUGAAUCUUACCUCUGCCCCAACCAGUUGUGUGACCUUGAGAAAGUGAAGAUCUUUUUUGUUCAUUGGUUUCCUCAUCUGUAAAAUAGGGAUUUAAUUUUACCUGCCUCAGAAGAUUGUAGUGAGGAUUAAAUGAGGUGAUAAAACUAUAAUGUUUAGGACAGUAAAUUGUAUGUAAUAUAAUAUUAAUAAAUAUUAGCCAUUAUUAAUAUUAUUUUGCCCUGAACUCUAGUCCAGCAAUCUUUCUACUUCUCUAUGUCACUUCUAUAAUAGACGCCUAACACACAAUAGAUGCCAAAUAAAUAUUUGUUAUAUAAAUGAACAAUGCUCAUCCAUAAUGGUGACUCUAAAAUAUAAAAAAAAAAUUUUCUUCUGAUUCUUCUGCUUAAGAAAAAUAAA
rnacentral:lncRNA from 10 species